AUUGAACGCUGGCGGCAGGCCUAACACAUGCAAGUCGAGCGGAUGAAGGGAGCUUGCUCCUGGAUUCAGCGGCGGACGGGUGGGUAAUGCCUAGGAAUCUGCCUGGUAGUGGGGGAUAACGUCCGGAAACGGGCGCUAAUACCGCAUACGUCCUGAGGGAGAAAGUGGGGGAUCUUCGGACCUCACGCUAUCAGAUGAGCCUAGGUCGGAUUAGCUAGUUGGUGGGGUAAAGGCCUACCAAGGCGACGAUCCGUAACUGGUCUGAGAGGAUGAUCAGUCACACUGGAACUGAGGCACGGUCCAGACUCCUACGGGAGGCAGCAGUGGGGAAUAUUGGACAAUGGGCGAAAGCCUGAUCCAGCCAUGCCGCGUGUGUGAAGAAGGUCUUCGGAUUGUAAAGCACUUUAAGUUGGGAGGAAGGGCAGUAAGUUAAUACCUUGCUGUUUUGACGUUACCAACAGAAUAAGCACCGGCUAACUUCGUG
rnacentral:rRNA from 1 species